GCGAGUGUGGUGGAAUUGGUAGACACGCUAUCUUGAGGGGGUAGUAGCUUUUAGCUGUACGAGUUCAAGUCUCGUCAUUCGCA
rnacentral:tRNA from 1 species